rnacentral:lncRNA from 1 species
UCUAUCAAUUACGAAGAAAAUUGAAAUCUAAAUUCACACUCUAUCAAUAUAAGAUGAGAAUGAUGAGAAUCAAAACUUUAUUAUUUCACAUAUUCAAUCUGCUUACAUAUACAUUGUCUUUAAUAGUUUUUAAUAAACUAAACUUUAUUCUAACUAACUUGAUUAACUAAGUGUCUCUAACUGACUAAUUUUGAAUUACCUCAUAUUUCUCAAGAGCACUCAACUAUCAUUUUUUAUUAUUUGUUUGGUAAGUUAUGCCUUAUCCCCUUUGGAGAUAAGUAUUUCUUUUUCAAGCAUUCUCUCUUAUUUAAUUAUAUUAUUUUUUAAAUAUAUUUUUGAUAUUAGACUUAACUUAU